GACGGAGGAUGCAAGUGUUAUCCGGAAUCACUGGGCGUAAAGCGCGCGUAGGCGGCUUUGCAAGUCGAGUGUGAAAUCCCCAGGCUUAACCUGGGAACUGCAUUCGAGACUGCAUAGCUAGAGUAUGGGAGAGGGAAGUGGAAUUUCAGGUGUAGCGGUGAAAUGCGUAGAUAUCUGAAGGAACAUCAGUGGCGAAAGCGACUUCCUGGACCAAUACUGACGCUCAUGUGCGAAAGCGUGGGGAGCAAACAGG
rnacentral:rRNA from 1 species